rnacentral:rRNA from 1 species
AGGUGUCGAAAGCCUGAUCCAGCCAUGCCGCGUGAGUGAUGAAGGCCCUAGGGUUGUAAAGCUCUUUCAACGGUGAAGAUAAUGACGGUAACCGUAGAAGAAGCCCCGGCUAACUUCGUGCCAGCAGCCGCGGUAAUACGAAGGGGGCUAGCGUUGUUCGGAAUUACUGGGCGUAAAGCGCACGUAGGCGGAUUGUUAAGUUAGGGGUGAAAUCCCAGGGCUCAACCCUGGAACUGCCUUUAAUACUGGCAAUCUCGAGUCCGAGAGAGGUGAGUGGAAUUCCGAGUGUAGAGGUGAAAUUCGUAGAUAUUCGGAGGAACACCAGUGGCGAAGGCGGCUCACUGGCUCGGUACUGACGCUGUGGUUGCAAAA